GGAAUACGUCUUCCAUCUCACGCCAUAUGAUAACAGCAGCGAAAUGUGUUGUAAAAUAGGUGGUAUCCCUAUAAACGCUAUGAUCGAUUCGGGAUCAAAAUACAACUUAAUCAGCCAAAUUGUCUGGGAGCAACUAAAGUCCCAACAUGUUGUAUCAAAUCAACACCGUGAUGCCACAAUUACACUCAAGGCAUAUGGCGGACAGGUACUGCCGCUCGUAGGUGUGUUUACUGCUACAGUUACUUUAGGCUCAGCAGAAACUACUGCCGAUUUCUAUGUUGUGAAGGGUGAUGGCAAAACUUUAAUUGGGCGUGAUACGGCUACUCUCAUGGGAGCGUUGAAAAUUACCGUUCCUGUAAAUACGGUUGACAACGAAAACCAUAAACUGUCGACCUUGAAGAAUGUUGUGGUAGAUAUACCAAUAAAAUCAGGUUCAGUAGCUGUCGCUCAGCCAUACCGUCGAAUACCGGUUGCCCUGGAAAAACUAGUCGAUAAAAAACUGGAUGAACUACUGAUUCAGGGAGUUAUCGAGCAAGUAAAUGAGCCAUCUAAGUGGGUAUCACCUGUAGUAGUUGUCCCUAAAGGAAACAACGAUGUUCGCAUAUGUGUAGAUAUGCGGCGCGCUAACGAGGCGGUUGAGAGAGAAAAUCAUCCACUACCUACUUUUGAGGACUUCUUACCACAUAUGGCUAAGGCAAAGGUAUUUUCCCGUCUGGACAUUAAAAAUGCUUUCCACCAGGUUAGUGCAAACGAAGGUUGAUUAAGGAUUGAUUGCGAUUUAAAUUCUUUUGUUAACCUAAUCUAUUUGAAUUACGUUGCUUAUAACUCAAUCGAAAUAUAUUAUAUCAGAAACUAAUCCUAAUGAGUUUCAUUUUAGGUAGAAAUUUCAAAACAAUCUCGGGGGAUUACUACGUUCAUCACACGUAGAGGGUUGUUCCGUUACACCAGACUUAUGUUUGGGAUAAACUGUGCACCAGAGCUGUUCCAGAAAACUAUGGAACAAAUUCUUACAGGCUGUGAAGGAUGCUUGAAUUACAUCGAUGACAUUAUUGUAUACGGAUCGCAUAGAGAUGAACAUGACAAAAGACUGACAAAGGUUCUCCAAAGGCUCAAAGAGUGGAACGUGGUGCUAAAUGCAGAUAAAUGCGUUUACGGGGUAUCAGAAAUGAGAAUUUUAGGGCAUGUUAUAUCUGCAGAAGGAGUAAAACCAGACAAAGAUAAACUAAAUGCGAUACGAAACUUCAGGGCACCAAAAUCAGCAGAAGAAGUUCGAAGUUUUUUAGGUUUAGUAAAUUAUGUAGGAAAAUUUAUCCCUGAUAUGGCAACCAUUACACAUCCAUUACGACAGCUAACAGUUGAAAAGGAAAAAUUUGUAUGGAAAUCAGAGCAUCAUUCAGCGUUCGAGAAACUCAAAUCGUUUAUGAUAAGCCCAUCAACACUAGGUUUUUUUGAUAUUGGAGAUAGAACACAGUUAAUUGCUGACGCAAGUCCUGUUGGGUUAGGAGCGGUAUUAAUACAGAUAAAUUCAGAAGGAAAUCCGAGAGUAAUUGCAUACGCAAGCAAAAGUCUAUCUAAUACAGAAAAACGCUAUGCACAAAUUGAAAAAGAGGCCCUAGCGCUUGUUUGGGCAGUAGAACGCUUCCAUUUUUAUCUAUAUGGUCGUCAAUUUGAACUUAUAACAGAUCAUAAACCAUUAGAAAAAAUAUUUAGUACAAAAUCGAAACCAUGUGCCAGGAUCGAGAGAUGGGUAAUACGGCUGCAAUCUUACAAAGCAUCUGUUAUUUAUAGACCAGGGAAAUCCAAUAUUGCUGAUCCACUUUCACGCCUCGCGAUCACAGAGACCGUAGAAGGUAAACCAUUUGAUGAGUUUUCUGAACAGUAUGUGGCAUGGAUUAUUUCCAAUGCAUCACCAGUAGCGCUAAAGCUUACAGAGAUAGAAAAAGCUUCAAAAGCCGAUAAAACUAUUCAAGCGGUUCGUCAGGGAAUCGAAAAGAAUGAAUGGACCGAAGAUACUUCGACAUUCAAAAUAUUUUCUACUGAACUAUGCUUUGCUAACAAUAUACUGUUGCGAGGAAACAGAAUAGUUAUGCCUGCUUCAUUAAGAGAAAGGACCUUACAUCUAGCCCAUGAAGGUCACCCAGGUAUGAGCAUUAUGAAACAGCGAUUAAGGGCCAAAGUAUGGUGGCCAAAACUUGACUUACAAGUAGAACAAUACGUCAGGAAUUGCCGGGGAUGUAUGCUGGUCUCUGCAGCGCCCGCUCCAGAACCAAUGAAGCGAAGAGAAUUGCCAUCAGCACCAUGGCAACACGUGGCCAUUGAUUUUCUAGGACCUCUCCCAUCAGGCCAUUCGUUGUUAGUAGUAGUCGAUUAUUUCAGUCGCUACAUAGAAGUAGAAAUUAUGAAAAAGACGGAUUCUAUACAGACUAUAGGACGGUUAAAUUCAAUUUUUGCACGAUUCGGACUACCUCUAUCUAUUACUGCAGAUAAUGGGCCGCAGUUCUCAAGCGAAGAGUUCCUACAGUUUUGCACCACCAAUAACAUUAAAUUGAUCAGUACCACCCCAUACUGGCCGCAACAAAAUGGUGAAGUCGAAAGACAAAACCGAUCCCUUCUUAAACGACUUGUCAUCAGUCAAUCAAUGAAUGCAAAUUGGAUCGAAGAGCUUAACAAAUACCUAUUAAUGUAUCGAUCUUCUCCUCAUUCAGUCACUAAGAAAACACCGUCGGAGAUGCUUUUUAAUUAUAACAUAAGAGAUAAAUUACCAUCUAUAUUUAAUCCAAUAGUUGAACAUGAAGAAGUGGCAGACAGAGAUAAGGAAGCUAAACACAAAGGUAAAAUGUAUUCAGAUAAACGAAGAAACGCAAAAGUUAGCUCAAUAUGCCCGGGUGACGAAGUUCUGGUCAAACGAGUGCGUAAAACCAACAAACUAUCAUCUAACUUUGGGACAAAAGUUUUUAAGGUGGUUGAAAGGAAAGGAGGAGAUGUAUUAAUAGCAUCAAAAGAAUCCGGUUUGAAAUACCGGAGGCACGUAUCUCAUUUGCUUAAAGUUUCUACAGAAGAAGGUAACCCCCUUGCACCAGAAUCAGUAGACAACGGAAUGGUAGAUCCAAAUAACAAAGAAAAGAAUGUUACUUGCAAAGAUACCACAAGCAAAUUAACUGAUAGAAGUCUUAGCUAUAAGCCAAGUAAUGAGACCACAAGAUCUAAAAGAACUAUUCAAAAACCAAAUUACUUAAACGACUAUAUUAGCAGUUAGAAAUCCAUUAGUUAGUAAGCAAUACAUUAUCUAUAAAAAAAGGAAAGUGAAUGUAGUAUAGCAACCUUAUAGAUACGUUGUAUAUAUAAACCUUGUUAUGUUGCUUGACAGAUGAAAGAUGGAUUAACAAUAAAGGGCAAUCGCAUGUGGAACUACGAGGAGUCAAGACGUGUUUUAUCACGAUACUACACAUACAGAUGCUAGUAAAACAGCGAUAGCAGGCAUUUUAAUGCAACGAGCAGAAGACGAUGGUAAAUUUCAUCCGUGUUAUUGUUAAGAAUAAGCAACGUUUUGUUGUUUGGGUUUGACAGUACUGGUGUACGGUAGUAUAUAAGCGAACGAAAAAUUGUGAACUUGUACAGUUGCGUCUUAGGAAUAAAAGAAUUAACAUCGAAGCUUGUGUGGUAUGUGAGAGUAGCAGUGUGGGUGUGCGGGCAGUAGGAGGUUGGACGGAAUAAAGAGCAGACGUGUGUUACUGUAGUUCCGGUGUUUUCGAUGGAAUAUCACAUUGGCGAUCCUGCCAUGAUGAAUAAAAGCGCUCCUAGGUUGAAGAAAAUAAGGAGGGAUAAAAAAAAAAGGAGAGGAAGGAUAAAAACAGGCGAUAUAAAGGAUAAACCGAGUGGUAGCCUGGUGCAUCUCAUGGCCCCUCCAAAAAGGUGUAAGCCCGAGUGGUAGCCAAGUUCAGCUCAUGGCCCCUCGAAGAAUGUGUAAGCCAGAGUGGUAGCCGAGUUUAGCUCAUGGCCCCUCGAAGAAAAUGUAUACGCGAGUGGUAGCCGAGUUCAGCUCAUGGCCCCUCGAAGAAUGUGUAAGCCAGAGUGGUAGCCGAGUUUAGCUCAUGGCCCCUCCAAGAAAGUGUAAGCCAGAGUGGUAGCCGAGUUUAGCUCAUGGCCCCUCGAAGAAAAUGUAUACGGGGGUGGUAGCCGAGUUUAGCUCAUGGCCCCUCGAAGAAAGUGUAAGCCAGAGUGGUAGCCGAGUUUAGCUCAUGGCCCCUCGAAGGAAAUGUAUACGCGGGUGGUAGCCGAGUUCAGCUCGGCUGAAAAAAAAAACAUAAAGCGGUAUAUCGUUUUUUUUUUGUUUCGCGUUCUUCUUCUUCUUCUUUUUCUUAUUUAUUUCAGCCAGCAGAACCCGGCUGACCGGUCUGGUACAGCUGCCCGAUAUUCAACAAUAACAAUUCUAUGGAAUACAAUGGAUGGUCGGUCACUGGUUUGCUUAGAUGGAUUCAACCGAACCCGGCUGUUGUCCGGCGUGAUGGCGUGCCGUCCAAGAUUUGGCAAAAACAAUUCCAUGGAAUUCAAUGCCAUGGUAAACAAGUGUGAUUGUAUAAGUGACGAUCGCACACAUAGCAUUGCAACGGGUGGGCUGGUGGCAACCUGAGCUAUCAGGAUCAGUCGCUUUUGGUGUAGCAAGCGGACAGCAUCGUCACAGAACAAGCACGGAAGUGGUUUAGAAAGAUGGCAGGUUGGACAGUUGAGAACAAUUUGGAGUGUGCCCUGGAAGUGCGUAGUGAGAGCAAGCAAAAAGAUUACAAGGGGGAUUUUUUGGCCGGUUCUUGGCCGCUUAAACCAUUUUCGGAAGAGCUUCCUAUCCACGAGCGGAAAGCAGAGUGGGCGCGUUUUAAAGGACAAUAUGAGAGAAUAGUGAUGUGUAAAGGAAAAGUGAAUUCGGAAAUGAAGUUGAUAGCUUUGAAAGUAUUUGCUGGAAGCUAUCUGCUAAACAUUAUAGAAAUGCAGGAAAGACGAGUGAAAAGUGGUGAAGGGGACGUGUAUACAGAAACAGUGAAAGGGGUAGACGAUUUUUUCAACGGCAUAUGUGAUGAGGGAAAAGAAAGGAUGAAGCUGAGAGAAAUGAAAAUGGAAGCUGAUGAAACAUUUGGUGAUUGGGUGUUAAGAUUAGAAGCUCAAGUGAAAUUCUGUGGUCUGCCAGAAGAACAGAAAACUGAAGAGUUAGUGCAAGCUGUGUUGCGACGUUCGGUUCCCCAGAUUGCCGAAAAAUUGUUUGAAAUGGCAGAUUUAUUUGGGAAUGAAUUGGACAAAUUAGUAAAGCAUGGUAAACACCUUGAUUUCGUAAGAAUGGAAAAGAGAGAGAUAGAACAAAAGCUUGCCAAAAGCACGACAAAAGAAUUUACAGAUAGCGAUAAUUAUGUAGCGGCAGUGACUUCGUGGAGAACGAAAAGGGAACGAUAUGAGCCGUACGAACAACAUCAAAACAAGAGACUAUCGGGAAUGCAUCCAAACGGUUUUCGGAACACGUAUAAUAAGGGAGCAACGAAAUGCUCAAAGUGUGACAAAAUACAUGGCUGGGGGAAGUGUGGAGCAUCCAGAUCAAAAUGCUUCCGGUGCGGUGCCAUAGGACAUCUGGCAAUUUGUUGCAGAACCAGAUUGGGAUCAAAUCGAUUUCCAAAUGUGGUGAAGAAGCAGACCGAGGACAUUAAUCAGGUGGUAAUAGGAGACCCCGCUGCAGAACGUUUUCCGGCGAACGAGGAAGGCAUGCAGUAACCGACGAUCCAAGGCGCAUUAACUGCAUGAUCGGAAAUGUGCCUAUCAUUUUCUUACUAGAUACUGGGGCAUCGGUGAACACUGUUACUGCUGAGAGUUGGUGGCAAAUAAGGACACACGCCCAGUCGAGUGUGCGUGAAUGGCAGCCACACCCUGAAACAACGCUGCGGAGUUAUGCGAAUAGUGCAGUUUUGGACGUAGAAUGCUCAUUUAAAGCAAUAAUAUGUGCAGGUGGAACUAAUAGAACUAUGGCAAAAAUUUUUGUGGUAAAGGGAGCUGAAAUAUCCCUGUUAAGUUUUAACACAGCAGUCAGCUUAGGUUUAGUAUGCAUAGGACCUGGAAAGCAUUAUAUGUUGCGUAACAAAACACAAGAGACGACAGUAAAGGAUACAUUUCCUAAAUUGAAUAUUGGUGCGGUGAAAUUUAGAAUAGACAAAACAGUCACACCCAAACAAAUAAUACGUUAUAAUAUACCUAAAGCAUUUGAGAGAGCCGUGAAUGAGAGACUAGAGGAAAUGGAGCUUAACGGUAUCAUUGAGUAUGUAGACAGCGAGGAUGCGGAAAUAUCUUUUGUGUCACCUAUGGUGCUAGUGCCGAAAGGAAAUAAGGACUUUAGAAUUGUUAUUGAUUAUAGAGAAGCGAAUAAGGCUAUCAUACGAGAUCCGUACCCCAUGCCAUCAUUAGAAAGAAUUUGGACUGAUAUCCCCAACAACGAUGGAAAGAUUUUGUUUUCUAAGAUAGAUUUGAAAGACGCAUACUUUCACAUAGAAUUACAUAGUGAGGUGCGCCAUUUGACUGCGUUUAUGACGAUGAAUGGAUUAAUGCGGUUCAAGAGAUUACCUUUCGGGCUAUCUUGUGCACCGGAGAUUUUUCAAAAAGAGAUGGAGAAAGUUUUCAGAAAUUGCAAAAAUGUUCUUAUAUACCUAGAUGAUAUUUUGAUGUACGGUAAAUCGUUGAAAGAACUAAAGGAAAUAGAAAAUAUGGUUAGGGAAGUUAUUGAAAAAAAUGGACUUACCAUUAACGAAGAAAAAUCGUGUUAUGGUCAGGAAAAAGUGAAUUUCUUAGGAUUAACACUAGAUGGAGAAGGAAUAUUACCGAUGAGGGAAAAAAUGACAACCAUUCAAAAUUUUGACAGACCUAAGGACGCAGGUGAACUUAGAAGUUUUUUAGGAAUGUUGACUUUUAUUGGCCCAUUUAUCAGAGACUUUUCACAUAAAACUAAGCCGUUGAGGGAUUUGAUAAAAAGAGAUAAAUUUAAAUGGGAAGAGAUGCAUCAAAAUACGUUUGAAGAAUUGAAAAAGGUUGCUAUGGAAGACCUUAUCAAAAGGGGUUAUUUCAAUGAAAAGGAUAGGAUCAUACUAUAUACUGAUGCAUCACCUUGGGGCUUGGGAGCAAUUUUAGCCCAAGAAAAAUUGAGCACGUCCGAAAUGCGUAUUAUCGCAUGUGCAUCCAAAGGAUUGACGGAGACGGAAAGCCGCUAUCCGCAACUGCAUAGGGAGGCUUUGGCCAUAGUUUGGGCUAUGGAACGAUUUGCUUACUAUCUAUUAAGAAGGAAAUUUUUGUUGCGAUCAGAUAGUGAAGCGUUGAAAUUUAUGAUUAAACCGGCUAAACAAAAAGAUAUAGGAAAGAGGAUUAUGUCCAGGGCAGAAGGAUGGUUCAUCAGACUGGACCAUUAUGAUUUUGAUUUCGAACACGUUCCGGGAAACGAGAACAUAGCCGAUACUGCGUCUAGGCUGUGCAGAUCUAAAGAGGAUUACCAAUUUGGGGUUGCUAAGGAGCCUCACGAACUAUGUUUGGUUACUGCGUGCGUAAACCAGGUUAAUGAAACACUAUUGGCGUUAACCACGGAAGAAGUAGGAAAGGAAUUAGAAAAAGAUGUUAUAUUAAACAAGGUUAUUGCUUGGUUAGAUAAAGAGAAUGAAUGGCCACAAGAAAUUGCAAGGUAUAAAGCGUUUCAGAGGGAGCUGUAUGUGGAAAACGGUUUCCUAUUUAAACAAGAAAAGAUGGUCCUCCCGCAUAUACUUAGGAACCGAGCGUUAACAUUAGCUCAUAGAAGCCACCCUGGCAUGUCCACGAUGAAAAAUGUUCUGAGAACGGGACUUUGGUGGCCCGGUAUGGACAAAGAGAUUGAAGCUUUUGUUAGAAGCUGCCCAGAAUGUCAGCUAGUGAAAACGACAAAUACGGCGGUACCUAUAGAAUUAACGGAGCUACCGGAGAAUCCAUGGGAUUAUGUGUCAAUGGAUAUUUCAUCUACCACAGAUAAUGUUAAAACAUUGGUGCUUACAGAUAAUUACUCGCGAUUUCUGAUAGCCGUCCCUCUAGAGCGAACGGAUGCGAAUAGUAUACAAAAAGCAUUGAACAGGAUAUUUUUAACAUACUAUGUACCUAAGAAAUUAAAAGCAGAUAAUGGACCCCCGUUUAAUGCGGUAGAUUUCAAAAGAUGGUUAGCAGAUGUAUGGGGGAUAAAACUCAUAAAUAGCACGCCUCUAAAUCCUACCGAAAAUGGGUUAGUUGAGCGUGGAAUGCAAGGUAUAAAUAAGAUUGCAGCCAUUGCACGGUUAGAAAAAAAAUGCUGGAAACAGGCCCUUGCGGAAUAUGUAGCGGAUUAUAACUCAUGGCCGCACCAUGUAACUAAAAUAGCACCAGCCGAACUAAUGUUUGGUAGAGCUAUUAGGCAUAGGUUACCAAACCCAAAAACGGAUACUAGACAAGCGAACGAUGAUGAAUUACGAGACAGGGAUAAAAUGGCGAAAUUUCAGCGCAAUCAAAGAGAGGAUACAAGGCGUGGAGCUAGGCCUCUUAGCAUUAAACCUGGGGAUACGGUUUUAGUUAGAAAUCAAAAAGCAGAUAAGACAGACUCAUCGUACAAAAAAGAAUUGCAUGAGGUACUUAAAAUUUGUGGUGCUGGCAGGGUAACGGUGAAGGAAAAAAAAUCAGGAAAAAUUUACGAUCGUAAUGUAAAGCACAUAAAAAAAUUUUUCAUGCGAAAAGCGGAAGAAGGGUUGACAAGUGGUAGUAGUAGUUCGGAGGAAGUAGCAGGGCUAGUGAAAGAACGACAGGCUAGGCUGAUUAAAAAACCAAAACGAUUAAUCGAAUAUUAAAGAAUUUGUAGCCUUAUUCCUCAAGGGGAGGAUGUGGUAUGUGAGAGUAGCAGUGUGGGUGUGCGGGCAGUAGGAGGUUGGACGGAAUAAAGAGCAGACGUGUGUUACUGUA